rnacentral:rRNA from 1 species
GAGGUCUUACCGAGUUUCACUCCCAACCCCUGUGAACAUACCACUUGUUGCCUCGGCGGAUCAGCCCGCUCCCGGUAAAACGGGACGGCCCGCCAGAGGACCCCUAAACUCUGUUUCUAUAUGUAACUUCUGAGUAAAACCAUAAAUAAAUCAAAACUUUCAACAACGGAUCUCUUGGUUCUGGCAUCGAUGAAGAACGCAGCCAAAUGCGAUAAGUAAUGUGAAUUGCAGAAUUCAGUGAAUCAUCGAAUCUUUGAACGCACAUUGCGCCCGCCAGUAUUCUGGCGGGCAUGCCUGUUCGAGCGUCAUUUCAACCCUCAAGCACAGCUUGGUGUUGGGACUCGCGUUAAUUCGCGUUCCUCAAAUUGAUUGUCGUUCACGUCGAGCUUCCAUAGCGUAGUAGUAAAACCCUCGUUACUGGUAAUCGUCGCGGCCACGCCGUUAAACCCCAACUUCUGAAUGUUGACCUCGGAUCAGUAAGGAAUACCCGCUGAACUUAAGCAUAUCAUUAAGCGGAGGAA